rnacentral:rRNA from 1 species
GGGAAUUUUCCGCAAUGGGCGAAAGCCUGACGGAGCAACGCCGCGUGAGGGAAGAAGGCCUCUGGGCUGUAAACCUCUUUUCUCAAGGAAGAAGAUCUGACGGUACUUGAGGAAUAAGCCACGGCUAAUUCCGUGCCAGCAGCCGCGGUAAUACGGGAGUGGCAAGCGUUAUCCGGAAUUAUUGGGCGUAAAGCGUCCGCAGGCGGCCUUUCAAGUCUGCUGUUAAAGCGUGGAGCUUAACUCCAUUAAGGCAGUGGAAACUGUUGGGCUUGAGUGUGGUAGGGGCAGAGGGAAUUCCCGGUGUAGCGGUGAAAUGCGUAGAUAUCGGGAAGAACACCAGUGGCGAAGGCGCUCUGCUGGGCCAUAACUGACGCUCAUGGACGAAAGCCAGGGGAGCGAAAGGGAUUAGAUACCCCUGUAGUCA